rnacentral:misc_RNA from 1 species
AGUCGUAACAAGGUUUCCGUAGGUGAACCUGCGGAAGGAUCAUUAACACGAUUUUUGACCCUCUUAACAAACAAAUGUGAACCUCUUUAAACAGUAGGCACGGAAGUAAGAAUGGAGGAUCUCUUGCUUCCCCUCUUCUGCGGCAGCAAUGCCGAAAAGGAAUCCGAGUUACACUUUUAAGAGAAAUCUUAAAUUGUAAUUCAACCUCCACUUUUUACCUUUUUUCCCAUACACACUUACCUGUUGUCUAAACUAUAGUCAGUUAAAACUGACUCUAAACAAGAAAAUCAUUACAACUUUUAGCAACGGAUUUCUUGGUUCUC